rnacentral:rRNA from 1 species
GAUGAACGCUGGCGGCGUGCCUAAUACAUGCAAGUCGAGCGAACGGACGAGAAGCUUGCUUUUCUGAUGUUAGCGGCGGACGGGUGAGUAGCACGUGGAUAACCUACCUAUAAGACUGGGAUAACUUCGGGAAACCGGAGCUAAUACCGGAUAAUAUUUUGAACCGCAUGGUUCAAAAGUGAAAGACGGUCUUGCUGUCACUUAUAGAUGGAUCCGCGCUGCAUUAGCUAGUUGGUAAGGUAACGGCUUACCAAGGCAACGAUGCAUAGCCGACCUGAGAGGGUGAUCGGCCACACUGGAACGGAGACACGGUCCAGACUCCUACGGGAGGCAGCAGUAGGGAAUCUGCCGCAAUGGGCGAAAGCCUGACGGAGAAACGCCGCGUGAGUGAUGAAGGUCGUCGGAUCGUAAAACUCUGUUAUUAGGGAAGAACACAUGUGUAAGUAACUGUGCACAUCUUGACGGUACCUAAUCAGAAAGCCACGGCUAACUACGUG